GACGUAGGGCGCGAGCGUUGUCCGGAUUUAUUGGGCGUAAAGAGCUCGUAGGCGGUCUGUCGCGUCGGCUGUGAAAACCCGGGGCUCAACCCCGGGCCUGCAGUCGAUACGGGCAGACUAGAGUGCGGUAGGGGAGACUGGAAUUCCUGGUGUAGCGGUGAAAUGCGCAGAUAUCAGGAGGAACACCGGUGGCGAAGGCGGCACUCUGGGCCGGUACUGACGCUGAGGAGCGAAAGCGUGGGGAGCGAACAGG
rnacentral:rRNA from 1 species